rnacentral:rRNA from 1 species
AGUGAACGCUGGCGGUAGGCCUAACACAUGCAAGUCGAACGGCAGCACAGUAAGAGCUUGCUCUUACGGGUGGCGAGUGGCGGACGGGUGAGGAAUAUAUCGGAAUCUACUUUUUCGUGGGGGAUAACGUAGGGAAACUUACGCUAAUACCGCAUACGACCUACGGGUGAAAGCAGGGGAUCUUCGGACCUUGCGCGAUUGAAUGAGCCGAUGUCGGAUUAGCUAGUUGGCGGGGUAAAGGCCCACCAAGGCGACGAUCCGUAGCUGGUCUGAGAGGAUGAUCAGCCACACUGGAGCUGAGACACGGUCCAGACUCCUACGGGAGGCAGCAGUGGGGAAUAUUGGACAAUGGUCGCAAGCCUGAUCCAGCCAUACCGCGUGGGUGAAGAAGGCCUUCGGGUUGUAAAGCCCUUUUGUUGGGAAAGAAAAGCAGCAGGUUAAUACCCCGCUGUUCUGACGGUACCCAAAGAAGAAGCACCGGCUAACUUCGUG